rnacentral:rRNA from 1 species
UAGGGAAUAUUGCAAAAUGGGCGAAAGCCCGAUGCAGCAACGCCGCGCGGGCGAUGAAGGCCUUCGGGUCGUAAAGCCCUUUUUGAGGGGAUGAGGAAGGACAGUACCCUCAGAAUAAGCCUCGGCUAACUGCGUGCCAGCAGCCGCGGUAAAACGUAGGAGGCGAGCGUUAUCCGGAUUUCCUGGGCGUAAAGCGCGUGCAGGCGGAUUGGAGAGUUGGAUGUGAAAGCUCCCGGCUUAACUGGGAGAGGUCGUUCAAUACUUCCAGUCUUGAGUGCAGUAGAGGGAAGUGGAAUUCGGGGUGUAGUGGUGAAAUGCGUAGAUAUCCGGAGGAACACCAGUGGCGAAAGCGGCUUCCUGGACUGUAACUGACGCUCAGACGCGAAAGCUAGGGUAGCAAAC